CCUACGGGAGGCAGCAGUGGGGAAUAUUGCACAAUGGGGGAAACCCUGAUGCAGCGACGCCGCGUGAGUGAGGAAGUAUUUCGGAUUGUAAAGCCCUAUUAGCAGGGAAGAAAAUGACGGUACCUAACUAAGAAGCCCCGGCUAACUACGUGCCAGCAGCCGCGGUAAUACGUAGGGGGCAAGCGUUAUCCGGAUUUACUGGGUGAAAAGGAGCGUAGAGGGUUAAACAAGUCAGAAGUGAAAACCCAGGGCUCAACCAUGGGACUGCUUUUGAAACUGUGUAUCUAGAGUGCGGGAGAGGUAGGCGGAAUGCGUGGUGUAGGGGUGAAAUGCGUAGAGAUGAGGAGGAACACUAGUGGCGAAGGCGGCUUACUGGACUGUAACUGACGUUGAGGCGCGAAAGCGUGGGGAGCAAACAGGAUUAGAUACCCGAGUAGUC
rnacentral:rRNA from 1 species